GACGUAGGGCGCGAGCGUUGUCCGGAUUUAUUGGGCGUAAAGAGCUCGUAGGCGGUUUGUCGCGUCGUCCGUGAAAACUCACAGCUUAACUGUGAGCUUGCGGUCGAUACGGGCAAGCUAGAGUUCGGUAGGGGAGACUGGAAUUCCUGGUGUAGCGGUGAAAUGCGCAGAUAUCAGGAGGAACACCGGUGGCGAAGGCGGGUCUCUGGGCCGUUACUGACGCUGAGGAGCGAAAGCGUGGGGAGCGAACAGG
rnacentral:rRNA from 1 species